GAUCCUGGCUCAGGAUGAACGCUAGCUACAGGCUUAACACAUGCAAGUCGAGGGGAAGGCGAUAUUGGAAGCUUGCUUCCGACAGGCGUCGACCGGCGCACGGGUGAGUAACACGUAUCCAACCUUCCCGUUACUCUGGAAUAGCCUUUCGAAAGAAAGAUUAAUACCGGAUAGUAUCGAGAGACUUGCUAUGAAUUACCCGAUUAAAGAUUCAGUCGGUAACGGAUGGGGAUGCGUUCCAUUAGGGCACG
rnacentral:rRNA from 1 species